UACAGAGGGGGCAAGCGUUGUUCGGAAUUACUGGGCGUAAAGGGCGCGUAGGCGGCCUUCUAAGUCGAACGUGAAAUCCCUGGGCUCAACCCAGGAACUGCGUCCGAUACUGGAAGGCUUGAAUCCGGGAGAGGGAUGCGGAAUUCCAGGUGUAGCGGUGAAAUGCGUAGAUAUCUGGAGGAACACCGGUGGCGAAGGCGGCAUCCUGGACCGAGAUUGACGCUGAGGCGCGAAAGCUAGGGGAGCAAACGGG
rnacentral:rRNA from 1 species